UCAGCUCUAGCUCAGUGGUAGAGCGUGGGAUUGCAGUUUGCCAUCAUCCUAAGGUCAGUAUAAAUUCCUCUCCACAUGUCCAAGCAUCGAACUAACUCUCAACAGGUCACUUGUUCGAUCCAGGUGGGGAG
rnacentral:tRNA from 1 species